ACUCCUACGGGAGGCAGCAGUAACGAAUAUUCCGCAAUGCACGAAAGUGUGACGGAGCAAUGCCGCGUGUAGGAUGAAGCAUCUAGGUGUGUAAACUACUGUCAGGGGCUAGAAAUAAAUGAUCAACCCCAAAGGAAGGGACGGCUAACUCUGUGCCAGCAGCCGCGGUAAU
rnacentral:rRNA from 1 species